AUUUUGUUCAUGGAAAUUUGGGCGAUACUCAAUUGUCAUAUUUCAAGGUCAAGGAGAAUUUUUAUAUUGUUUGAUGCUAGUGACAUGUUCAUAACUUAUUCUGGUCAAAUGAUAUGAGUGUUUACGCAUUUAUGUGUCGAUCAAUUGGUUUUGAGAAAAAUGCAUUUAUCUUUCCAACGGUGCGAGAUACCAACUCGUAGCAAGCAACAAACAAUAUAAAAAUUCUCGCGCUCUCAGACAAUGACCUCCAAAUAUCAGUCAGAGGUCAAAAAACGCAAUGACCUUGAAUCACCUUGACCUUGAAAUAUGACAAUUGAGUAUCGCCCAAAUUUCCAUAAACAAAAUAUCACACCUCAAGUUCACUCAGGAGCAAAGAUAUAACCAAUUUACAACGGUAAAAUUAGCUGAAAUGCCCUGUACUCUCCGAUAUACUCUUCGGUACACUAGUUUCACCUAUAAGGCAAUCUUUGAUAAGCACUGUCUACUAUACUAUUACUAAUACCAGUGAUAUAAUUAAGCAUCUUACGUAUAGUAGAUGGCACAAAAAUUAACUUAUCCGUGAAACUAAUGUAUAUAGUCAAACAUGUUUAAUUAAUCAAAAUAACUAUCAAGAUUUGUAUUAAUUGUCAAAAAAUAUUACAAAUUAACAUCACCAAGCUAUAAUAUUAAGUUGAAUUUACCAAAAUAUUAAAUUGAUGAAGUUCUUCAUUUGCAUGUAAACAAAGGGGUUGAGGGGUCAUUGAUUAAUUUAGUCACACUUUACUGUACAUUUAUACUGAUGAAGAAUUCCUUAGGAAAUCGAAUGCUUACCGCCAUUUCCCUUUCACUCACAGGUCUAACAUCGUUCUCUAUCUUUCUAUGCCCUAACUAAACUCUGUUGGCGUGAAUUGCGGAAUUCUGCAUAUUGUCGUGACCAUAGUCAUUCAAGAUGUCAGAAUCGGUAAGUACAGAUUUCUGAGAAUAACAUUGUUUAUAUUAUUCGUAUGUUAUUUUAUUUUAUAUUCACACAGUAUCAAGAAGUCGAAGAACAGAAGAUUCGGGAUAAAAUAAAAUCUUUGACUGAUGAUAUGCCGGUAAACACCCUUUUAAGCUUUAAUAUUGAUGGCAAAGAAGUUUUAAUUCGAAGGUGACCAUGUCUCACAAAACUAUGAAGAACUUUUGAUCUGAAAAGUGAAUUAUCAUCUUUUCAAUUAAUCUAUAACAUGUAACAAUGUUUGACUACCAAUAAUUAAACAUAUUUAGACAAAAAUUUAUGAAUAUAUUUUAUGAAUAUUGAUGGCUGGUCAUCUGAAAAUAGUCCGGAAUAAGACUCUUUAUAUUAUAUAAUCAGGACUGUGCGUUUUUUCUGUUUCAACGCUAUUGUGUUACAGCGGAUUUUCGAUUCCACAAUUUUUGUGUUAAAAGUACGUUACUUGUUUUUCUUCAUGAUCUUCUGAUAGGUGAGGUACAUGUGAAUUGGUGCAAGUUGUUUGUAUUGGGGAAAAAUUGCAUUUUUUGGGAUAGGUGAGGAAGAGUUGAACCCCCCAAUUCAAAUAUUAGAUUAGUGGCAAGCCAAUUUGGCAGAGGAAACUAUGAAAAUUUAGAUCUUUUAUCGGACAAAAAGUCAUAAAUGAACUUGAAUGAACUCGGCUUUAUUGCCUUUGUUGAAAAUUUAUGCUGAUAUUUUAUAGUGAAAUUUUCACCUUCUUGGUUCUACUAGUUCUUCACCAUUUCAACGUUACUUGAAACUUAUUUUGCAUUCAUUAUUCAUCGGUGAAAGAUAUUUGGGCAGUAUAUGUUGUCAGCUAUAUUUAACCUAUGAACCAAGUAACAUAAUAUCUUAUAUAUUUAUCGGAGCGUAGUGAAACGAAGUGAAGAUUUAACUCAGAUAUGCCUUUUCGAAAAUCCACUUUUUGUUUUACUGUGUACAAGAUAUCUAACGAAUAAAACAUCAUAGAAAGAUGAUAUUUGUUAAUAAGACAGAAAAUAUUGAGACGGUGAAACGAUCAACUUUUCAAGGUUCAUUGACGGUCAUUUUUCUGGAUUUCAUUUCGACCUUAAGAGGUCAUUUGAAGGUUGUUUGAAAUUUUUCGAUGAUCCUCAUGAAUAUUUAUCAUUAUUUCACCAAUAGUAAUCAGAAUUUGACCCGAAAAGGGGCAAAAAGUCUGAAACUCAUACCAAAGCAAAUUUUUGUAACUAUGAUAUCUCCUAAACGAAUGAGGUCUCGAACUUGAUAUUCGUAAUAUGCCCGCUUAAGAACAUGCUGUAAGCCUGAAAAUUAAAUAACGAUCAUCAAAGAAAGGUUUUCGGAUUUUGACCUAUGACUUUCAUAAUCCAGUAUGCUUGAACAAACGACGAAGCAUUAGCAAAUUUUAAAGCUUGCAUGAGGUUUCACAAGUUAUUUUGUGAUUUAAUAUCUCUUGUGAACAAGAUUUCAGAUGCAAGAGAAGUUAAUGAAUCAUGGUCUAUACUGGAUGGUUAAGGAGUGAAACUAAGAUACAAUUUUGUACUUUUUCGAUGUUAGAUUUCGUUUCUUGUUAAAUCUAAAAAACAAUACGGUAGAUUCAAUUGCUUGCUAACGCCAGAUCGUCUGACCUAGUAGUACUAAAAUCCAAGCUUUGUUUAAUAGCAAACAAAUCUAAUCUUAUGUAUGUUUAUCAGAAUUUAAUCAAGAAUUCAUUUCACAUUCAAUAAGCAUUGUAAUUAUCAAGAAAAUUGGUAAUCAAAAAAACGUAACUCAGACGGAAUAUUUUCUUAAGACUGCAUAACAUUGAAUGAACCAAAAUACAGCGAAAAGUAUGAUCAAAUCUAACAAAUUGAGUUUUUCAGUAUCAAUUGUUACACCGAUAGAUGAACAAAAGAAUUGAAUCCGCUAUGUAAAAAGUUUUAUUAUUUAUAAAAAAUAAAGUACUUGUAAAUUUGAAGUACUUAUGCAAUAGCCAUUGACUUCGUGGUGUUUGGUUCGACAAUUGUUUUUCCAUUCUGAAUAUUGCUACUGCUUGCAACAGCAUUUAAUAUUUUAAUAGGAUUAAUCGAAAUGUCUUUUGCUUACAAAAUUGAUUUUUGUAAUCAAUUUCAUACAAAUAAUUAGUUUAUUCCUAUUUGGUUCGAUAGUAUCUGAAGAGGGCUGCGAUACUAUUGAGACAAAGAUUCUUCGAUGAAAACACAAUAGGAGGCGCACUAGUAUCGAAUCCUCGUGUUAAAUCGCCUUUUUCUCAAAAUUUAAAUUUAAUUUUCAGUUAAUUCUAUUCUAAAUUUUAAUCAUCAUAAGUUAUUUCAUAUCUGGUAUCUUGUCAAAUUUAUCAUUCGCUCAAGCCUUGCAUUCAUUUCUUAUUUCAGGAAUAUUAUAAGAAUAAGAAAAAGAAUCCGAAGGAAAAUUUGGAGACGAAUAAUACUGACAAAAACGAUCCAGAUAAUUCAAAUGCUGAAAUCCAGGAUAAACCGCGAUUGGUUAUCUGCAAAAAUCAAUUGCAGGCAAAGUUUCCAUGCAAACUCAAACAUAUGGCUAUAAUUGACAAUGUGAUGCAUGCAUGUUUUUCAUACGGCGCUUAUUAUGAAGAUAAAACUGAGAUGUUGGAUCUUAACAAAGACAAUUAUCCACUACUCGAACCAGUGGCAGAUGUUCCCUUGGCAACUGAUCUAAGAAAAGACUCCGCCAAAGAUAAGAGCAAGAAAGAUUGACAGUGCCCUUAUUGUGGUUAUUGCUCCACAAAAUUCAAUCAAAAAGUAUUGAAAAAUAUAAUAUAUUGAAUGUAGCUACUGGUAGAAUAAAUAUUAUUAUUUACAAAAAAUAAUUUUGAUAAUAAUCUUGUGAAGAUAUUAAUUAAGAUAGAGAUAAUAAUUAAUGAAGAUAUAUAAUGAUAAGUAUUCUACUUACAAUUAGUAAGUUGUGUUGAUACUCGGUUUAAAUUGAAUUAGCUGUUGUUGCAAGCAGUAGCAACAUUCGGAAUGGAAAAUGUACAUAAUGUAAGUAAUGUACUCCGAAACUAUUGUCGCACCAAACACACCAACUGAAGUCAAUUGGCUAUUACAUAUACCGAAAGCUUUGGGGUCAUCCCAUUCGUCAUCAAAAUCACGAUCACUGAAUUCAAGGUCAUUAAAAUUAAUUAGAUAAAUCAUUUUCAAUAAAGAUAUUGCAUCUGUUGAUCCCAAUUUAUUUAUACACUAGAGUACCCGGUUAACGCAAUUUUUUUUUGUUAGUCUCCAUCUAGUGACAUAAUCUUAAAUAUGAGGGAUAUUAUAACGUUAAACUGUAAACAUGAGUAAAUUAACGUUAUCAAGUAAAUUAAAUAUAGUGAAGCAAAUUGAAAGCGGUGAAAAACAGUUACUGAUUGCUAACAACAACGAAGUAAGUCCAUCAACAAUCUCAAGAAUAAAGAAAAAUAAAGAAAAUAUAAAAAUAGAAUCAAAAAUUGAUGGUCAACGAAAACGUCUAGUGGUUCAAAAACAAAAAUAAGAGAUGAAGCUAUUCAUAAAUUUGUCAACGAUUGCAAUGAGAAAGGAUUUCCAGUGAACCACAGAAUAAUUAAAUCAAAAGCAAUUUCAAUUGCUAGUCGUGAAGGUGAAGUGUUCAAAGCAAGUAACCAUUGGUUUUCAAAUGUGAAGAGGAGAACAAGUUUGAGCUAC